rnacentral:lncRNA from 1 species
AACAUCUCAAAAGCAUAAAGAUAACAAAACAUAAGAAAACCCAAAACUCUUGAAUGUAAAUUGAAGGGAGAUCUUCAGUCUUGAUGAUGAAUCCGACUUCUGAGAUAGAUCAAUCAGCUUUCCUUGAGUAAUUCCUUGCUUCCUACUCUACGUCCCGUUCUUAAGUGCCUCCUCUGGUGUUUAAAUAGGCUUUUGAAUGCCUAAGAGCCC